rnacentral:lncRNA from 1 species
AUGAGUUUUCUGAGAGUGUCUCAUAUCUAAAACUUUUUCUCUUACUUCUCAUUUUUGAAAAAGUCUAAAUCAAGAAGAAAGAGGCAUCUGAUAGACCAUCGAAGAAGGAUCAGUAUAGUACUAGCAUACUGUGCUAAUUUUUUAGAUCAGAACUUCUGAUCGUGAUUCGUGGGCUCGUGUGAACGACUCCUAGAGGUCAGACAUAUGUAUGGCUCACAAUAUCA